rnacentral:rRNA from 1 species
AGUGAACGCUGGCGGUAGGCCUAACACAUGCAAGUCGAACGGCAGCACAGUAAGAGCUUGCUCUUACGGGUGGCGAGUGGCGGACGGGUGAGGAAUACAUCGGAAUCUACUUUUUCGUGGGGGAUAACGUAGGGAAACUUACGCUAAUACCGCAUACGACCUACGGGUGAAAGCAGGGGAUCUUCGGACCUUGCGCGAUUGAAUGAGCCGAUGUCGGAUUAGCUAGUUGGCGGGGUAAAGGCCCACCAAGGCGACGAUCCGUAGCUGGUCUGAGAGGAUGAUCAGCCACACUGGAACUGAGACACGGUCCAGACUCCUACGGGAGGCAGCAGUGGGGAAUAUUGGACAAUGGGCGCAAGCCUGAUCCAGCCAUACCGCGUGGGUGAAGAAGGCCUGCGGGUUGUAAAGCCCUUUUGUUGGGAAAGAAAAGCAGCAGGUUAAUACCCCGCUGUUCGGACGGGACCCAAAGAAUAAGCACCGGCGAACUUCGG